CUUUUGUUCAGGGCCAUUAUCUUAUGUUGUACCCAUAUCCAUGGCUGCUCCACAGAAAGUUGAAGCCCUGAACCACUGACAGAAAGGAGCGAAUUCUUAAUGGCCUCACUCAGCAUGAUGUGCCGUCCUCACUCAGCACAGUGUGCCAUCUUCAGAACUGGACAGACACCUGGCAGCUUGAAGUACACAGUGACAGAGUCAACUCCACAAAACACUGAAAUUCUGACUACAGCUUUCCCAGAGCAUGUGUGGAGAGGAGACACCUCAGCCACUCAAAUCAUACUGAGAUGCUGGUAAUCCCUAAGCCUUCCAGACACCAAGGUCAACCAAAAAGGCAGCAAGCAUCCGGUCCUACUGCGGACCAUGUCUUCUGCCUACAUGUCAAGCUGCAUGUGUCACCCAGCCCAGAGUACAAAUGUCAGAGUAUCACCAGAAGCCCUGGCAAGAUGCUGCUUUCUGAAGAGGUUCUGAUAAUCUCCAUGCUCUCCUGUAUCUGAAGGUCUCUCACCAUGUGUGUUACAUCGUUACUGCGAAGACACAGCAAAGACUCAAGGGAAAGAGAAAGAAACAAAUAAAAACUAUAACUCAUUCCUAGUACAGAGUCUGCUGCACAUAGGGAAGGCAAUAGGAGUCACACAUUUGUGUCUCCAGCUGGUGUCAAAUGUGCACUUGGAAGAUGCAUCUCCCUGGAGCAAGAGGUCUCAGGGCAGGUGUGGGAGGGGCGGGGCCACUGAUGGGAGUGGUGAGAACAUCUGGACCCUUGGCUCCAUUGGCUCAGCGACUUGACAGGAAAUCAAAUAUUAUAGAAAGGAAAAGGGUCGUGCCUGUGUCCCGCGUGUGAGAGACUUGCAGGACUACAGAGAAGGUUGUGGUCAUCUCUGCCUGACAGCAUUGCAGCUGUGCUGGACCACACUUGGAAAGUAUCUUAGCUACCACAACAGCAGGAAGUCAUAGGAGCUCACAUCUAUCCUUCUCGGCACCCUUAAACGUGCUUUCUACUGUCCUGGGCAAGCAUUGAAGGACAAUUCAUGAAGAAAAUGGAAAAUUCUCCCCAAGAUGCCUGCUUUUGAUCACUCCUGAAAGCUUAUGUGAACUUGGUUAAAAUAUUUGCUGUCUGGCUUAUGAGAUGGCUCAGAAAAUGAAAGCCCUUGCUAUG
rnacentral:lncRNA from 1 species